rnacentral:rRNA from 1 species
UAAGGAAUAUUGGUCAAUGGACGCAAGUCUGAACCAGCCAUGCCGCGUGAAGGAUGAAGGUCCUCUGGAUUGUAAACUUCUUUUAUCUGGGACGAAAACGGGAUUUUAUCUCAAUUGACGGUACCAGAGGAAUAAGCACCGGCUAACUCCGUGCCAGCAGCCGCGGUAAUACGGAGGGUGCGAGCGUUAUCCGGAUUUACUGGGUUUAAAGGGUGCGUAGGUGGGCUUAUAAGUCAGUGGUGAAAUCUCCGAGCUUAACUUGGAAACUGCCGUUGAUACUAUAGGUCUUGAAUUAUCUGGAGGUAAGCGGAAUAUGUCAUGUAGCGGUGAAAUGCUUAGAUAUGACAUAGAACACCAAUUGCGAAGGCAGCUUACUACAUAUAAAUUGACGCUGAGGCACGAAAGCGUGGGGACCAAACA